CUUCAAUUCUAUUUUAUCUUCUUCCAAUUCCUAAUCAUCAACCAUUAUUUUCUCAUUUCCUCCAUCUUAACCCUUCCUCUCUCUCCCCUUUUAAAUUUCCCGUUAACGUUGAAGAUUUGGUUUAUGUAGCGCAAUUUAAGGAAAGGGGAGAACGAUUCCUUCUUUUUCUUCUUCAAGUAAAGGUGGUCUGAAAACUUAUUGAGUUGGUGACAAGUCCGACGGCAAAUUUGUCGAUUGUACGUGUAGAUUUGGUGCCAUUGAUUUGCACGUCGCGGUGGUUAAUCUGCAUUUACACUGUAUGAUUUGGAUUCUACGGUGGUUCUGAGUUGUGUCGUCGAUGGCGAUUUCACCGCAUCCUACGCCUUCUGAUGCAAAUGAGCCUAUAUUGUCAAGUCAUAGUGAAAUAAGGCCAGAAAUCACAACAUGCUCAUACUAAAAAUAACAUGCCCAUGCUGAAAUAAGGCCAAAAAUCAAGAAUUUUUUAGAAGCUGAAAGUAAAGCCGGUGAAGAGCAAGUCGAUGAGCAUGCAGAUAAUGGGAACUCAGAUUCACAGCAAAACAUGUUUUUCUUGGAUGCUGAUCAUUUUCCUAAAUUGCUAGGCAUGCUACACAUAGAAACAACAUUUUUAGAAAUUGCUAUGCAUGAUAGCUCUCAUUUUUUUGUACGAUGAAGAAUUAAAGGAAGGAAUUGUUUGGUUCACAUUCAUUGUCUGGGUUUGGAUAGUUACAAUACUAUCUAGGUGUU